rnacentral:rRNA from 1 species
GUAAGGAAUAUUGGUCAAUGGGCGGAAGCCUGAACCAGCCAUGCCGCGUGCAGGAUGACUGCCCUAUGGGUUGUAAACUGCUUUUGUCCAGGAAUAAACCUAAAUACGUGUAUUUAGCUGAAUGUACUGGAAGAAUAAGGAUCGGCUAACUCCGUGCCAGCAGCCGCGGUAAUACGGAGGAUCCGAGCGUUAUCCGGAUUUAUUGGGUUUAAAGGGUGCGUAGGCGGCCUAUUAAGUCAGGGGUGAAAUACGGUGGCUCAACCAUCGCAGUGCCUUUGAUACUGAUGGGCUUGAAUCCAUUUGAAGUGGGCGGAAUAAGACAAGUAGCGGUGAAAUGCAUAGAUAUGUCUUAGAACUCCGAUUGCGAAGGCAGCUCACUAAGCUGGUAUUGACGCUGAUGCACGAAAGCGUGGGGAUCGAACAGG